rnacentral:misc_RNA from 1 species
GAUGAAGAACGCAGCGAAAUGCGAUAAGUAAUGUGAAUUGCAGAAUUCAGUGAAUCAUCGAAUCUUUGAACGCACAUUGCGCCCGCCAGUAUUCUGGCGAGCAUGCCUGUUCGAGCGUCAUUUCAACCAUCAAGCCCCAGGCUUGUGUUGGAGCCCUGCGGCUGCCGCAGCCUCCCAAAACCAGUGGCGGGCUCGCUAUCACACCGAGUGCAGUAGUUUACUCUUCGCUCAGGGCGUGUGGCGGGUGCUAGCCGUGAAACCCCCAACUUCUCAAGGUUGACCUCGGAUCAGGUAGGAAUACCCGCUGAACUUAAGCAUUUCAAUAAGCGGAGGA